GCAGCCAUGGCCGGGUGGUUAAGGCGUCUGACUAGACAUCAGAUGUGAUAUUCACGCGCAUGUUCGUAUCCUGCUGGCUGCG